UACGGAGGGGGCGAGCGUUAUUCGGAAUCAUUGGGCGUAAAGGGCGCGUAGGCGGCCGGGCAAGUCAGGGGUGAAAUCCCUCGGCUCAACCGAGGAAUUGCCUCUGAAACUGCCCAGCUCGAGGCCGGGAGAGGGUAGUGGAAUUCCCAGUGUAGCGGUGAAAUGCGUAGAUAUUGGGAGGAACACCAGUGGCGAAGGCGGCUAUCUGGACCAGUUCUGACGCUGAAGUGCGAAAGCGUGGGGAGCAAACAGG
rnacentral:rRNA from 1 species